UUGUUUUCAUUUUUUUUCCUUUUGAUUUGUCUUGUUCCGAAUUCAAAAAUAAUUCUCCGGAUCUCAUUGAUAACAAUUUGGUUACCCCUCAUAUGAUUUCGACAAUCCGAGCAAUCAGGCUGAAGAAGAAGGUGAAGAAGACUGUGAUCCGCCAGAAUUAGCCAGGAUGUUAAACAAGAGGAGAAGUUGAUUCAUCCGCACGUGAAGUGGGUUGAGAUUG
rnacentral:lncRNA from 1 species